GCACCAUUGAUUUGAUUGAUAUUGACAGGUGAGUCAGACAGGUUAGCACCAUUGAUUUGAUUGAUAUUGACAGGUGAGUCAGACAGGUUAGCACCAUUGAUUUGAUUGAUAUUGACAGGUGAGUCAGACAGGUUAGCACCAUUGAUUUGAUUGAUAUUGACAGGUGAGUCAGACAGGUUAGCACCAUUGAUUUGAUUGAUAUUGACAGGUGAGUCAGACAGGUUAGCACCAUUGAUUUGAUUGAUAUUGACAGGUGAGUCAGACAGGUUAGCACCAUUGAUUUGAUUGAUAUUGACAGGUGAGUCAGACAGGUUAGCACCAUUGAUUUGAUUGAUAUUGACAGGUGAGUCAGACAGGUUAGCACCAUUGAUUUGAUUGAUAUUGACAGGUGAGUCAGACAGGUUAGCACCAUUGAUUUGAUUGAUAUUGACAGGUGAGUCAGACAGGUUAGCACCAUUGAUUUGAUUGAUAUUGACAGGUGAGUCAGACAGGUUAGCACCAUUGAUUUGAUUGAUAUU